UACGUAGGGGGCAAGCGUUGUCCGGAAUCAUUGGGCGUAAAGAGCGUGUAGGCGGCCAGAAAAGUCCGCUGUGAAAACUCGAGGCUCAACUUCGAGCUGUCGGUGGAAACUUUCUGGCUAGAGUCCGGAAGAGGAGAAUGGAAUUCCUGGUGUAGCGGUGAAAUGCGCAGAUAUCAGGAAGAACACCCGUGGCGAAGGCGGUUCUCUGGGACGGUACUGACGCUGAGGAGCGAAAGCAUGGGUAGCGAACAGG
rnacentral:rRNA from 1 species